rnacentral:lncRNA from 1 species
UACAUAUAAUUUAUAGAUACUACAAGAUAUAUAAUGUAUAUAGUCACAUAAUAAAAAGUAUAAUGUAAUACAAUAUCAAAUAUAUAACUUCUCCCCCCAGUGUUCAUCUUGCAGCACAUGUCCUUUGUACCUCAGUAUUGCUAAUCAGAUCACAGAGGGAGAAACAGCUGUCCUAGAAGUUCUUAUAUGAAGGGGACAACACUGAUUGUGGGCAAUUCCUCAAUUUUGGAAUGUGGUGCUUUCCACGAUUACCGUAUUCCUGUCUGAAAUCCUGACACAAGAAAACUGCAGCCAGCCUCUCCCCAAAGAAGCACCUGAACAGACAGCACGUCUCUGUCACUCUCACCUGGUCUUAUGGUCCAUUAGGUAAGUCUGGGAUUUUAACCCUUAUUAAAAUAUAGUGAAUGAAGAGUAGCCACUGCUACAUCUUAUAGGCUAGAUUGGGGAUUAGCAGAAAA